UGCGUUGUAGAGCAGUUUGGUUAAGCUUAUCAGGCUCAUGCCCUGAAGGACAUAGGUUCAAAUCCUAUCGACGCA
rnacentral:tRNA from 1 species